CACGCGUGUUUUGCCGCAGUCUCGGUGCCUUUUGCGACACUCUUGUGCGUUUUCAAUUCCGUGUGCAAUUUGACGAGUUUACGGCCAUUGUCAUCCAAUUUUAUUUGGUGACGCGCAUGCAUAUUUACGCUCCAUUCCUGCAGCGAGAACCUGCCUUGAAUGCGCAAGUAUGCUCGCAAUCGAGCAAAGCUCAGGUCUUGGCGCUGUCCCUCCUGAAAGCUUCUUUCGGGGGCUUCGCUACGCCGGGCAUUCCCUUCCCGCUGGUGCGGCCUUCGUCAACCUUCAUCAAUGAAGUUGUGGCAAGUGUCUAGGUGGCAAGUGUCUUUGAACCCCAUCUGGAUCACGGCCGCUUGUCAGUGCCUCUGACUCAGCUUACAAGCUCAUUAAGUGUUUCUUUCAACCACUGCGCCAACGCUCCAGCAAAGAACGGUGCGCCCGAAGAGUGCGCUCACCGCCAUGGCUGCCUGACGCGCUACGAUUGGACAACGCCACCUCGGCGGUGUAAACAUAAACCAGCACCGAGGUUACAUUUUAAGCGAAGCCCACCGAUAGGAAGCAAAAUGCAGCAUAGAAAAAGGAGCAAGAAAAGAUGAGGUACAAAUACACUUGGUAACUACAUCGACUUCGCGACUGGUGUGAUAAAGAGCAAGGGCCAUGAAGGGGCACCGGUGCUGAGGACACCUCCAACGACUUCGUGCAGCCUCAUGUUAAGGCUGCUUGCAUAGAUCCAGUCUUACGCAGAAUCGUUUCGAAGAGCCAGGCCUGGAGUGUACUAAGAAGUCGCUGAAUGUUCUCUUGAGCAUUCGUGGCCUCUUGAAAAUUGUCUGAACUUCGCGCUCCCGCGGAUAGCUCGAAGCCGUGAUAAUUGCACAUCGAACUUCCUAGAUUAGGGCAAUUACUUAAAUGUACAUAAAGCGUCUUGCAUAGUGCUUGCUAUCCGAUUUUCCCAGCAGGAAUGUGGGCCAUCUUGGCAUGCUUCCUGCAUAAGCCAUAGGUGAGCUGCUGGUGCAAGGUGUUC